rnacentral:rRNA from 1 species
GUAAGGAAUCUUUCGCAAUGGGGGAAACCCUGACGAAGCAAUACCGCGUGGACGAUGAAGGUCGUAAGAUUGUAAAGUCCUUUUUUGGAGGAAGAAUUCUGACGGUACUCCAAGAAUAAGCACCGGCUAACUCCGUGCCAGCAGCCGCGGUAAUACGGAGGGUGCAAGCGUUACUCGGAAUCAUUGGGCGUAAAGCGUUCGUAGACGGUUAGUUAAGUCGAAUAUUAAAUAUCAAGGCCCAACCUUGAUGCUGUAUUUGAUACUGGCUAACUAGAGUUUUUCAGAGGUAUGUGGAAUUCUGUGUGUAGGGGUUAAAUCCGUUGAUAUACAGAAGAACACCAAAAGCGAAAGCAGCAUACUGGGAAAUUACUGACGUUUAAUGAACGAAAGCGUAGGUAGCGAACGGGAUUAGAAACCCGAGUAGUCC